UGGGGAAUCUUGCGCAAUGGGCGAAAGCCUGACGCAGCGACGCCGCGUGAGGGAAGAAGGCCUUCGGGUUGUAAACCUCUUUCAGGAGGGAAGAAGCCACUCGGGUUAAUACCCCAGAGGGUGACGGUACCUCCAGAAGAAGCCCCGGCUAACUACGUGCCAGCAGCCGCGGUAAUACGUAGGGGGCAAGCGUUGUCCGGAAUUAUUGGGCGUAAAGCGCGUGUAGGCGGCCAGAUAAGUCCGCUGUGAAAUCUCGAGGCUCAACUUCGAGCUGUCGGUGGAAACUGUCUGGCUAGAGUCCGGAAGAGGAGAAUGGAAUUCCUGGUGUAGCGGUGAAAUGCGCAGAUAUCAGGAAGAACACCCGUGGCGAAGGCGGUUCUCUGGGACGGUACUGACGCUGAGACGCGAAAGCGUGGGGAGCGAACAGG
rnacentral:rRNA from 1 species